rnacentral:rRNA from 1 species
GACGAACGCUGGCGGCGUGCUUAACACAUGCAAGUCGAACGGAAAGGCCCUGCUUUUGUGGGGUGCUCGAGUGGCGAACGGGUGAGUAACACGUGAGUAACCUGCCCUUGACUUUGGGAUAACUUCAGGAAACUGGGGCUAAUACCGGAUAGGAGCUCCUGCUGCAUGGUGGGGGUUGGAAAGUUUCGGCGGUUGGGGAUGGACUCGCGGCUUAUCAGCUUGUUGGUGGGGUAGUGGCUUACCAAGGCUUUGACGGGUAGCCGGCCUGAGAGGGUGACCGGCCACAUUGGGACUGAGAUACGGCCCAGAAUCCUACGGGAGGCAGCAGUGGGGAGUAUUGCACAAUGGGCGGAAGCCUGAUGCAGCAACGCCGCGUGCGGGAUGACGGCCUUCGGGUUGUAAACCGCUUUCGCCUGUGACGAAGCGUGAGUGACGGUAAUGGGUAAAGAAGCACCGGCUAACUACGUG